AGAUUGGUGUUACCCUAUCGAAAGAACUAAUGGCUGUUGCUGGUGAUGCUCUAAAGACAAACAUCACAACGUUAGGACCACUGGUUCUGCCGACAUCUGAACAGCUUCUAUUCUUUGCAACAUUAGUGGGACGAAAACUCUUCAAGAUGAAGAUCAAGCCAUACAUCCCAGACUUCAAAUUAGCGUUUGAGCAUUUCUGCAUCCACGCAGGAGGAAGAGCUGUUCUUGAUGAAUUGGAGAAGAACUUGAAACUCACAGAUUGGCACAUGGAACCCUCGAGAAUGACACUCUACCGUUUUGGUAAUACAUCCAGUUCUUCUUUGUGGUAUGAAUUAGCAUAUAGUGAGGCAAAAGGAAGGAUCAAGAAAGGCGAUAGAAUUUGGCAGAUAGCUUUUGGUUCUGGUUUCAAGUGCAACAGCUCAGUUUGGCGAGCGUUAAGGUCAGUCAACCCUCAAAAAGAGAAGAACCCGUGGAUGGAUGAAAUUCAUGAGUUCCCAGUUGAUGUCCCCAAGGUCUCAACAAUCUAGAAACCAUCAACAAUUUUUCACAAGAGGUUCUUGAGUUUUUAGCUUUCGAUAUUUUGUGUCUGUUCGGUUUUGAGUCUUCCUAAUGAAUUUUCCUUGUUCCUUGUUGGUUAUCAGAUACACCAAACUGGUUAACAAUUUUUUCUUCUUUUUCGAACAUUUGUUCUUCUUUUUGGCGGAAAAACAUGUUGUAGACAGUAGCUGACCGUCAAUGUUCGGUCCAGCUUGUGUUUUUGGUUGUUGUGUCUGCAUAUAUUGUCCCUGAAGCAUUCUUUAUUGAGGGUCUUUUUUUUUUUUAAAUGUUGUUAAAACAAGAGUUAUCAACUUGCCAUUAAUAACAAUAGGUGAUAGAAUUUGGCAGAGAGUUUCUAUGGGUUUUUAGAAUCAGUUGCAAAUAUAAGAUGAUCUCCAUCUCUUAUAACAUCUACAUCAUCAAUCUCUGCAUUGUUGUCUUUGUUCAUAACUUUGGCAGCAACAAUUCCAAACUUGUUGGAACCCAAUUCUAGCAACUCCUUGAAACUCCCAGGAAGCAGCACCAGCUUCCCGGCUAUCUCAUCUUUCUCUGCGCAACUAAUUGUCACCCUCACUGGGUUUCCAGUUCUGCCUUCAUCUACCGUAGCUAGCCCGUUCUUGGGUACACUUUGAUUUGCUAAUAUCCCAAACAACGAGUUGUCGAAGUUGUUAGUUUUCCGUCUUGCCCUAGUUUCCCGAAUCCUGAAAGACACUUCUCUUGAUGCAGGACGGAUGUUGGGUUCACUAGUGAAUCUUCCGAGGAAUCGGAUCCCGGUUUUGAGUAUAGGAACUGAAGAACUUGUCUCGAUCUGCACCCUCCUUUCAUGUAACUUUUCUCGGAAUAGAGCUUUAAUAUCCUCAUGCCCUUGUUGCUCAGCAAGAUCCCUUGGCGUCCAACCAUGCAUAUCCUGUUUGUUAACGUCUGCACCUUGCUCCAGAAGAUACUUUACCAUCUCAAUGUUCUCUUCACAUACAGCAGUAUGGAGUGCAGAGGUGCCUGUGGCUCUGGGUCGGGUAACGUCUCCACCAUGUAGAACAAUUUCUUUUAGUAGCUUCAAGUUGCCUUGCUCAGCCGCCGUGCAAGCAAAAUGACCCACAUCCCCUGCAUCUAUGGUACUGCCAUGUUCUAACAGUACCUUUACAACUUUCUCAUGCCCUUCCACCAUUGCUUCCCACAAUGGUACACUCCCUUCCGCGUCUGCAUGUACAUUUUUGAGAAACCAAGAAGCUCAAUAGUUCAAAAGAAAUGACCUGAUAUCAAAAUGGGAGUACCAGAAUUGAACAACAUUUUUGGCGCGUACCUCUACAAUUGGGGUCUGCGUGGUAUUCCAACAGAAGAAGAACACAAUUCAGAGUUCCUUUUGAUGCUGCUAUAUGCUGUUUCAAGACAAAAAGAAGAGAUCAAAGUUAUAGUCUCCAAGAGCUUGGAUGGGAAGAAAAUAACAGAACAAGAAUGUGAACUUCACUGACCAGAGGUGUUCUGCCAUUGUUAUCCGAUUCAUUCGGAUCAAGUCCUCUCUUUAGUAACUGAUGUAAAAGCAAAUCGUCUUCUCUUAUUGCAGCAAAGCAUAAAUUGAGAGGAAGAUCCAUUUUACCCCGUGCAAGCAUGUUUUCUGUCUCCAGCAGAACAUUCGUCAUCACCGGAUCAUUCAUUUCUUUCAAAUACUGCUCUCCCCAAAGAAAGAGAGUGAGAACAAGUAAGUAAUAGUUCAUGAUUCAAAUUUUUCUGAUUUCAAUUUUUGAAAAGCUCCAAAGGAUCUGUUUAUUUACCUGAAGUAGAUUAUUCAUGAUUAUGGUACCAUCUCCAACAUUGGCCUGAAUAAUAUUCAAGAAAUUUGUACGGUUCAUACGCAACAGUUGGCACAAACGUUUUGUCCUCACUGUAAACAGCUGUGGUCUGUAGCAUAACACCCCUAUCUCCCCUACAAUGUCUCCAGCUUUAACCUCUUUCACAAUCUGAAAUUCUCCAUAAAGUUUUCUUUGUGAAUGCUUAGUUACAUGGUAACUCCAAGAUCAGGGGUUUGGAGACAAAAGGAAUAAACAUAAAGUGAGAAACAUCCACCAAGUGACCCGACUUACAGUUUCUGUUCCACUGUCUACAUCCACCAAGUCCUGCAUCAUAACGGAUAAGUAAGUUAGUCUCUCAUUCAUUUCAUUUAUGUCAACUCAACAAAUCUGUAGAGAAUUUUGUGAAAUUUUAUUACCGCGGUACCAUUCACAAGGAUGUAGAAGUCUGUUGGCGCUUCGUUCUGUAAGAUAACAUCUUCUUUUGGUGGGAAGUACUCAGCUUUCAUUUCUGAGACCUGCAAAAUGUACAGAGCAAUGGCAGCUUCAUUUGAUGUGUCGAAAAAUGGGAGUUGAAUGAUGAUGUUUCACAUUCAUAUUAAUGAGUUUACCAGUUGAAAAAGCAGGUCAUUGGAUACUCCGCGAAACAGGUAGACCUUAUCCAUGAGGGAGUAGAAAAGAAAGUGUGAUAUACUCGAUCUAAUGGCUUUUGGGAGUGCAUCGAGAGUUUCUUGCUGUUGUAGCCCCUCAGAGUCAGUCCGAUAUUUCAAACAUAAAUGUGCAAGCAUUUGAUCUUGCAGACGAGGCGGUAAAUGGUUUCUAUGAGCAAAAUUUGAAGCAGCUUGGAUUGUAUCUCUCUGGAAAUGUAGAACAAAAUUUGUCAUGGUCCUAUAGAAUCAUAGCUUAAACAGGUGAUGCAGAUGCUAACUUACAAAAUUUCUAGUCCGACUAGUUCCAUGAACUACCAGAUUGGUCAUGUUACCAAUCAAGUAUGCGGUUAAUCCGAGGUUGAAGAGCAUAUAGAAGAUAUCAAAUAUCAUCUCCUUUGUGUUCACAGGAUGCAGAUCACCAUAACCGACAGUGGUUAGAGUAGUAAUGGACCAAUACAUGGAAGUCACAUAUCGCAUCCACAAGCUUUCCUCUAGGAAAUUUUCAAUGGAUGCUCCAAUCCAGGUCUUUGCUGGGUCAUGAUUGCGCGCUGCAAUAAGGUAAUAGAAACAUGCAGCACAAUGAACCGCAAAAAGGGUAACCUGCAAAAAAGCUCUGGUUGGUUAGUAUCUACACUAUUACUACCUUGAGAGUGUAGUAGUUUAAAUAAAGAUAAACAUUAUAAGAAUGCAAAACAUUUUGAUGUUCUUACACAAACGAGUUUUGCGCAUCGGACCCAAAAGUAGUUAAAGUUGCGGUCUUUCUCUAGUCUGUUAAACGGAGAAUGUCAAGAUUAAGAGAAAAUAAUAAAAGAAAGAAAAAGUUUAGUGAUUCUAACCUGGCAAACAAGGCACUGACUCUGCGAAGUCGCCAAAGACGAAGCAUGUUAAACAAUCCAUAAGACUGAGAUGAGAUUCUCAUAGCAGCCUCUGAGGGGAUGGUUGAAACAAGAUCAAGAAGGAACCAAGAACGCAAGUACUUAAAUGCAAUCUGUUUACGGUCAUCAACAAUGAGGUAAGUCGAUUUAUCGAGAUAUCCCACAAAGAAUGUCAUGAUGAUAUCGAUAGCGAAGAAUGCGUUCACAAUGUUAUCGGUGAUAGAGAGUGGUGGCCUUGGCUUUCUCAAGAACCCAAACUCGAAAGGCGAAACCCAAGCUGUGUAAACCACAAGAACCACUAGGAAAGCCUCCCAUAUCCUGUAGUCAACACUUUCUUUUCAGUCCUAUUCAAUAAUCCUCAUUUCAGAAAUUAUCAUUACACAUUUUUUACAUGUAGUUGAACAAAUCUAUCAAAUUACCGCAUGAUGAAUAUAUAUAUAUAUCCCAAUGUCUCAUAUUUUUCAGCACUUUGGGUUUCAAUAGUAUGUUACUAAUUAUUAUUUGAUGACAAUAUUAUAAUAUAAAAAAUAUAGUAAUGGUUAUGGCCUUAUGGGAGUGAUGAGAGUGAUUGAAUAAAGAUGCGAAGAAAAGAUGGAUGUGGUUGUAAUAUAAGAGUAAAAAUAUUUUAAGUAAUAUUUUCUAAGCCUUGUACUAUAAAUAGCGAAACUUGGAGGUGUGUUAGGACCAAGCUAAGCGAGUGAGAAAGAAUCUAUAUAUAUAAUUAGAGAGUUGUCUCUCCUCUUAAGGUGUCCACAUCACCAUUCAUGUCAUGAUAAUUUUUUUUUAUGGGUUCCACAUAUCUUAUUUAUUACAACAAAAAACAUUAAAACUAAAAUCAAUUCACACACUUUUUAUUAUUAUCUUUCAUUAAAUAAAAAAUAAUAAUUUACAAAAAAAUAAAUAAAAUAUUAACAAAAAAAUAUAUAUAUGCAACACAAAAUAUAUAAAUUCUGAACAGAGAUUGAAUAAAUAUAAAAUUAGAUAAUUAUAUCUUAACAUAGAAUAAGUAGAUAUUUUUAAAAUGAUUAGAGAUAUCAAAAAAUACUUAUCAUAUAUUUUAAUGUUACAACAAUCAAUAAUUUUAAUAGUUACAGUUAUUAAGUAGAAUAAAGAAAAUAAGAGUAAAAAUAAACCAAAUUUAAAGGUUUUUACUUAAAAUAAAAAGUAAUUCACUUUUGAAAAAUACAUAUUUAAAUUUUGAGAAUAUAUGUGUUAUUUUUAAAGUAUUAAUUCAUGAUACCGAUUAGAAAAUGAGAAGGAGUGAUCAGUACAUAUUAUUAUUUAUAAUUAUAGUUUACUAAUUUUUUCUAAAUUAGGUUCUAAAAAAAACAAAUGAAUAUCUGAAAAAAAAUAAAAAAAAUAUUACUAGAAUUUUAGGAAAUUAACAUAGAUUGAAAAAAUAAUAAUGUGAUUUGAAAUAAAACAAAAACCUAUUAUAAACAUCACAAAUAAAAAUAGAACAAUCUAAUCAAAUAAUAAAAAUAUGUAAUAAUAAUAUUUGAGGAUGCUAUAUGGAAACUAUAAUAGUAAUAGUAGAUAGAAGAGUUUUUAAUUAGAAAUAAUAAGAAAUAUUUUAUUUUAAAACGUAUUUUAAAAUUAGAAUUAGGAGCUCGUAUGUUACAUAUUUUAGGAAAAUCAACAUUAAGAAUACUAUUCAGCAUCAAAAUAUACGUCAAAAUAUAUUUGUGAAUUUUUUUUUUGUAUUUUUCAAAUAGUCAAGAUAAAUUGUAAAAGUUGACGUUGAAAUCCAAUGUUUUUGAAUAGAAAUGAGUCUAUAUCUCAGAUUGGUCAUCUAUAAAGAACUUUUACAUACAUUAAAAGAUAAAAGAGAGAAAUUGUAGUCAAAAGUGAGAAAUUUUUUACUACUUUGAAAAGAUAAUACACAUAAAUAAAAUAAAAUCUAUUAAAAUUCAAAUGAAUCUAUUUAUAAUAUUAUAUUCAAGGAUUCGCAUUAAUUAAACGUUUUAAAGUAAAAUCCCGCGCAAUGCGCGGGUAUACAAUCUAGUUUGAGAGAAUUAAAGAGUCUUGUAACCUUUGAGUGGUUCAAUAAAAUCUCCCCUUUUUAUAUAAUUAUUUCCUCUUCGAUAUAAAUAACUUCCUUCAUAUAGUUUGUUGAUACUCCUGAUCUAAAUAUAACUUCCUUCAUAUAGUUUGUUGAUACUCUUGAUCUAAAUAACUCAUUUGUGGUUGUACCGACUAUGUGUCUAUUUGAUAUCAUAUAGCUAUUGACGAUACAACAACCACGAAAAGUUUUCUACUUUUUUUUUUAUCAAAAAAAAAAAAGUUUUCUACUUUUGGUUAUAAUAAUUUAGUGUCAGAUUUGAAUCAAUCGUUGAAAUCAAGAUAUGAGCCAUAUUCUAAAAGUAUCCGCCUAACCCGAUUAUUCCCCGCUUAAUCUCUAGGCCCACCCUAUCCGCCUCGAUUAAUGACUGAUCCCCUAAAGAAAUCAGUUACUUAAUUACUCUCAGCCUAAUCCGAUUACUUUCCACCUAAUCUGAUUACUCCCCGCCGAAUCUUAUAUAUCCCGAUUAUUUUUAGAUUCCAAGUAUAAAAAUACUUUUUAUUUUUGUUAUUCAAUCAUUUAAAUUGGGAGUUUGUGAUGUUUUACAAUAACUUAUGUUAAAAAUUUAAUAAAAGUUAUAAAUUUGUAAUAAAAAUCAUAAAAAUUUGUCUCACAAAUACAGUUUUAUAUGUUUACUGCAAUUAUGAAAACAAUAUUAGAUUAAUAUGUUUUAAAAAUAUUAAAAUAACCCUAAAACUAAUCCCCGAUUAAUUCCCGAUUUUAAUUUAAUUUUCUGAUUAAUCGCUAGGCUCAUACCGAGCGCCCAACUGACGCUUAACGAUUUUUCAAACAAAGGAUAUGAAUUCCUUGAAUGUUCUACUUUCACUUUCUCAUUUAUAAAUUAUCCCCAAAAGCAAAGGCGGCUUUUAAGCUAAUUAGCCAACUAGAGUAAUAAUGGAAGCCUUGAAUAUUCUACAUUUGUCUUCGCAUUUAUAGAUCUUCUUUUUUGAAUAUUAGGAACGAUAGGGAACUAGGAUUUGAAUAUUCCAAAUGUUGAAUAAAAAGGGAGCUUUAACCUAAAGCCUUUAGUUGUCGGUAACUAAAAUUAACCCAAAAAAUAAUAUAUAAUAAUAUUAAUAAUAAUAAUAAUAAUAAUAACAAAGUUAAUUAGAUAGAUUUAAAAAAAAAAAGACAAAGUUAAUUAGAUAGAUACUCCCUAUGUUUUAUAAAGAGUGUUAUUCUACCAUUUUUCACACAAAUUAAGAAAAGUAAACAAAUUUCAUUUCUACCCUCAAUUAAUACACUGGAUAAUACACUCUCUAUAGUUAAUAGCUAAAAUAAUAGGGAUAAAAAGGAAAAUUAAUCUUAAAAAAUGCAUUGAAAACAUAAAACGAUAUUCUUUGUGAAACAAAAUUAAAACAUUAAAACGACAUUCUUUGUGAAACGGAAGGAGUAGUUUUUUAUUUUCUAAUGUUAUUUUAGUAAAUAACCCAGGUGAAAAACAUAAAAUAAGAGGAAACCAACUUUUCGUGUUGUUUGACCAAAAUAGCAUUCUUCUCUUUGCACGCAAUUUUUGUUAUUUUAUGAAAUAACGCGAAAUAAUAUGGACGGUAACAUAUUUUCAAAAUAAAUUGUGGAUAUAAGAUCAAAUAACAAGUUAUUAGUUUAAAACCACAUGCAUGAAACUCUUAAUAAUAUUUAAGGGAAAACUUGUAAUCUAACCAAAUAGUUAAUUUACCUAAUUCAUAAAAAAUAAGGUUAGUUAAUCUUUUGCACCAAAAAAAAAAUGUUAGUUAAUCUAGUGCAUAUACUAUAUACUAUAUAUACCCAUGAUAAAUUACAAAAGUGGAUCACCAACCAAAAUACUUUUGUUUUUUUAUAUUGGGAAUUUUCUCUUAGAUUUUUUAUUUCAUUUAAAAAAAUAGUAGAAAACUAUGAUCCUAAAGUAGAAUUAUUUUCGUGUUUCCGAUCCUCGUAAAUGAAAGACUAAGAAGAAUAUAGUUGAAGAAUCAAGUUAAAAUCGUAAGUACUUAGAGGGGGCAGGUGCCUUCUUAGCUCUUCAAAACAAGGAAAAAAAAAACAAGAGAUGGUAAAAAACCAAGACCUGUAUUUGUGAUCAUAAGGAGAUAAAACGAAUCUCCGAAGCUUUACUCUUCGAUUACUUCUUGCCCCAAGUGAAGGCAAAAUUCCAGUAGAAAGACUAAAAUGACUACUCUCUCUCGAAAGCUGUUCAAUCUCAUCUUGGUCUUGUCCACAUAACAAAGCCCCUCUUCUCAUCACCGACUUUUUUCUUCUUCUUGGCUUCCUCUUUAAUGGCUCUUGUUUUUUUUUUCUUUUGGUUUCAGCAAAAGAGGCAAAAUAAGCAGCUUAACUCUUGGCUUUAUUACGGGUGUGUCAUUUCUGACUUUGGAUCCCUUCACUUUCAAGGAAUUAAGUUUUCUCUCUGCAUCACUGUGUGGUUGGACCCACUAUCACGUCUUAACCCCUACUAUAGCAUUAAUGGUGGCUUCUCAAUUUCAAGAUAAAAUAAACUAUCCUUCUUGCUCAGAAAUAGUUGUAUUUAGAGAAAAAUAAAAUAUUAGACCGAAGAGGAAGAGUUGACCAAAACAUUUAUACAUCAGAGCAUGAUCUCAAUUUUUUCAAUCAUUAUACUUACUAUUUAUAUUGUUUGUUUGACUUCUAACUUAAGAAACAGAAACUACAUAUAGAGAUGUAGGACACGACUUAAAUUUUUGUUAAAUAUUCUAGGUGAUAGAUGAUAUAAUAUUUUAAUGCUCAUUAGUUAAGAAAAUUUUAAAUGAGAUAUUGAUGUGUAUAUUGACGGAAGCUUAAUCUCUAUACUAUUAAAAGAGAAGUACAAAUGAAAAUGGAUCGGGUUAAAAUCGGAAAAUUGACCUAAUUUCUGAAAUCGGAUCUUUAAAAUUUUUUUGGAAUAUAAAUUCGAAUUAAUAAUGGAAAAUCGAAAUAAAAUCAAAUAUUUAUGGAAAUCAAAUAAAAUCUGAUUGUACUUAUGGUAACUAAUAAUAAAAGCAUAUUCCGAACAAUAUUAUACAUUAAUUACGUAUAAUAAAUUUGUUCAUAUAUUUUUGGGACUAAUUCCAUAACAAUCAACGUUUUUGUCAUUAAUUUCGCUCAUUUUAGCCAAUUAUCAUUAAUUCAAAGAUAUUUUAUUUGCUUCUAAAGAUUUCUAGAAAAUUUAUCACAAAUAACCCAUCUAUUUUAUAAACUGAAUUGAUAUUUUUAUUUUGGUCAUGUAAAUUAAAUAGAUAUUUUUAUUUUGGUCGUGUAAAUUAAAUAGAUAUGAAAUCCAUUUAACUAAUUUUAAUUUAAUUAGAUUAAAUCGAAAUUAUGAUAUUUUCAUACCUAUAGCUUACCAAAGAAGUUUAAUUUUCAAUUUAUAAAGAUUUCUUGAAUAUGAUUUUAGAAUUAUUCAACAAGAUGAUAAGUAUUUAUUAAAUUUUGUGAAUCAUGAAAAAUAAUAAUUAAUUUUUAAUCAUUAUACUUCAUCUUUCAAUCUCUCAUCUAACAAAUAAGAUACAUAUUCUAUUAUUACUAUGUCCAAACUUCAUUUUGUUGUAUGACUAAAUAAUAUUCCCAUUAGAACUGUCAAAGCGAGUUGAUUCGUCCCGUUAAGUCCGUUUUGCGAUAGACAAAAAAUAUUUUGACUUGUAGUUAGUCGGUCCGCACGACCCGCGGGUAGCAUAUAUGAAAUACAAACCCGUCCCGCGAUAGUAUGCGGAUUUGCAGGAUUGUCCAUGGAUUUUGUUUAAAUAAUUUUAAAGUAACCAAAAUUUAAAAUACUACUAAAAUAAAUAAAUAAAUAAAAAUACUAUUAAAAGUUUGUUUAAAUUACCACAUGUUGAAUAAAUUAUAAUUUUAUCAAUAAAUACUAAUAUGCGGGCUGAUCCGCCAACUUGCGGAUGAAAACCGAUUAAACCUAUGACCCACUGCGAAUUAAUCCAUGUGGCCCGCUUAUUUGCGGGUUUAAUAUAUUUUUCCAAAUCUGUCCCAUAGUGAGAUGAUGUGGGCUCGAUCCGCGGUUUUUGACCAAUUUUGACUGCUUUAAUUCCCAUGAAUCGUCUAAUUUUAGAAUUUUAAAACACAAAAUUCUAUUUUGUAAAUCAUAAUUAAUACGAUGGAUUUAUUUAUAAACAAUUUUACAUUUUCUCUACAAUUCGUUAUUAUGAAUAUUUAUAAGUAUACUACACGAUUCGUUCUACUAAAAAACACACACAAUAUUAAACGCAACGUAUGUAAACCAAUAUUCUCCCGCGGUGGACCGCGGGUCCGAUCCUAGUUUAACGAGUAAAGAAAAAGCAAAUCGUGAAAAGUAGUUUUUCUUGUUUAUAGAACUCUUUUCUUGAGUUAGAGUCUUUCACAUUUUAAAGGACAGAUUUUGGGUAGAAAGAAAAAACCAAUUUUUCCUUUGUCAAAGUUAUUUAGUUUUCCUCAUUAUAGUUGUCUUAUUUUUGCAAAUCUUUGUUGCUAUUCUGUUCUUCAAGUUCUGGAUUUCUCAUUUUCCAUAUAGUUAAAAGUUUUCGUUGUUCAAGAUGUCUAAUGUUGUGGAUAAAGGUUUUAUGGCUAUGUCGCUAGAGAAGGAAGAUGAACCUUUCAAUAUACCAGAUCUACUUUAAUGUUGCUCUAGUGAGAAGAAUAUUUUGGGUUUGAUAAGAAGAGUUCGUAGUCGGGAUUGCCAAAAGAUGACAGAGUCAAUCCUAGAUAAUCCAAGAAGUGGCAAAAGUAUGAAAUGAUCAUAUGGGUGUGGCUCUCUCCCAGUGGCGGAUCUAGCAAUAUAUUUUACCGGGGGCAAAAAUUUAAAUAGAGAUUAAUUUUCUAUCUUCCAAAAUUAAUUAAGAAAUGAAAAACGAAUAAAUCAUGUUAAAUAAGAGAAAAUGAUUGUAUUUUAAUAAGGAAAUAUGAAUUGACCUGUGAAAAAAGGAAACAAGAUAGUUCUAAAUGGCAAAUAAUAUUCAGUUUUGAGAAAUGAUUAUCUUAAUGGGGGCAGAAAUUAUUUUUUAAAAGGGGCAAUGUAUUAACUUCUUAAAAAUCUAUAAGGAAAUUAGAAAAUUUAUGGGUGGCAACUGCCCCCUACUUACCAUAUGUAGAUCCGCCCCUGCUCUCUCCGAUGGAAAAUGUUAGAUGCAUAAUUAGUAUUUUUGGCAUAAAAUUAUAACUAAAUAUAACAAAUAUUGUUGGAUGUAUAAUUUUAUUUUGAGUUUUCGGAUAUCCUUUCGGUUUUUGGUUCGGAUCGGAUUCGGUUCGGAUAAUUCGGGUAGGUUAUCCGUUUCGGUUUUAUAACUAUUCCGUUCAGAUUUGGAACCAGAUUUACUGUUCGGUUUCGGAUCGGUUCUUGAAUUUCGAAUUUUAUGUCCAGCCCUAGUUUGGUAGGGGUGAGACCAAUUAUCCGGGAUCCGGGAUCCGCUCCGAUCCGCUCCGAAAAAUAGGAUAUCCGGGUGGGGCGGAUCCGGCCGGAUCCGGAUCCGGAUCCGGAUAAUAGAAAAUUUAAAGCCGGAUAUCCGGAUCCGGGAUAUUUUAUAUAAUAAUAAUAUUUUUUUAAUAUUUUAUUACUAUUAUUUAAAUUUUAUUAAUAAAUUCUAUUAUUUUAUAUAAGAAUAAUAUUUUUUAAUAAUAUUUUUAAUUAUUUAUAUUAAAUUAUUUGUUUUUAAAUAUUUUUCUUGAAAUUUUAUAUUAAUAAAAAAAAUUAUAUAAAAAAAACCGGGAUCCGGAUCCGGCCCGGCCCUAUAGUUUGGCAUCUAAAAACUAUCCUUCGUUUCACAAUGUUCCAUUUGUACGGGUCUUCGACGCUAAUUUAGCGUCUCCACUUUACCUCUUUUCUUUCCACGCGAAACUAAUUCUACAUGGGCCAACCUGACCCAUAUUUACCUACAUGCAUCCAACCGGGCUUUCAUAAUGUAUUAAGCCCAAUUAUUCUGACCCGUGAAUUCUUACAAUCGACCCAGUUAUGAUCCACUUUCGACCCAAUCAUUGAUCUCAACUAGAUUACUUCUUCAUUUAGCACCACCAAGCCUCGUGCCUUUGUACUAAAUUAUCCUACAUGUAAUAAUAAAUAAUAAAAUCAAAAGAUAUGCUUCAACAGAACUUAAAAAAAUAGGAUAUUCGAAAAACUAAACCACGAAUAUUCGUCAUUUAAUAUAAUAAUAAUAAAUAAACACUAAAUAAAUCCAGCCAUCAUCAAAUCCUCUCAACCAAUUUUUCACUUUUGAUUGUUCCUUAUUCUCAGCUACCAUGAAAUUCGGCAAGAGCCUAAGCAACCAGAUCGAAGAAACUUUACCUGAAUGGCGCGACAAAUUCCUCUCCUACAAAGAACUCAAGAAGAAGCUCAAACUUAUGGAGCCACGAACCGUCGAGAAUCGUCCUACCAAACGUUCGAGAUCCGAUUCCAAUUCUGUCGACGCAGAUCCAACGGCUCGUAUGACCAAGGAAGAGCUCGAUUUCAUUAGUCUUCUCGAAGACGAGCUUGAGAAAUUCAAUUCCUUCUUCGUUGAGCAAGAGGAAGAGUAUAUCAUUAGAUUAAAGGUAUCAUCAAAAUCUUCUAAUCAAAAAUUUUGUUAGGUUUCGAAUGAUUUGUGUGAUCAAAUUUAUUAUUGAUUGUGGUUACAAUUCAUAGGCUCAAUUUGUUUUUGGGAUUCUAAGAUUUUCUAUAAGUAGAUGCUGUUGGUAUUACAAUUUUGUCGAAUUGCUCCGGCUCACUGACCGGAUCUUGGAGUCAUUGGAUUCUUCGUAAUGAACAACUUGGAGUCAUUGGAUUCCUUGUAAUGAACAAUCCGGAUUUUCGCAGUCCUACCAUAUGUCAUAAGCCGCCAUUUAGGUCUAUGUUACUAAUGGGCUAGAAUUAUUGUGUGGAGCAUUUUUUUUGUUUACGUGUAUAUUAAACUGUUUUUCUUUUGGGGACUGGUAUCGUAGGAAUUGAAGGAUCAAGUGGCAAAGGCGACGAAUUCUAAUGAAGAGAUGAUAAAUAUAAAGAAAGAGAUUGUUGAUUUUCAUGGAGAAAUGGUUUUGUUGAUGAAUUAUAGUGCUCUUAACUAUACAGGUAAACUUUUCUUUCUCAUAUUCUCUCCAUGGUCUUUGUUUUGGUUCUUUUCUCAUACGUUAUAGAAACCCGACAUUGAGUAAACAGAACAAGCUCACAUGUUUAAAAAUUAAUGGCGUUUAGAUGUCAAAAAUCGUUUACAAGGUCAAGCUCAGUUUUUAAGGACUCCUUGUAAGGGAAACCGGGUCAAUGAGCAAUAUGUUUAUGGGUUUUGUAAGAAAUUACUAGGAACUUGAAUUAGUGGUAACAUUACGUCUAUGUUAAGAGACAUAUUCUCCACGAUCUGUGUCUACUUGUGUUUAUUAAAAAUGUGCUCACAUGAAGGAAUAUACUCUAAUUUAUUUUAUUGGCCACUCAUAGCAGAUGCUUUCCUUGCACUUUUUUCUAAGAAUAACUUGAGGUUUAUGCCUUUAUUCUUAUUCACUAAAUCUGUAGAAUUGUGUUCUAUUGGUUUGCUUGCAGGAUUGGCAAAGAUUCUCAAAAAGUAUGACAAAAGAACCGGUGCUUUAAUCCGUUUACCAUUUAUCCAAAAGGUUCUACAAGAACCUUUCUUCACUACCGACCUGCUCAACACAUUUGUGAAAGAGUGCGAGGCUAUGCUCGACCAUCUCUUCCCGUCUAACAAAAGUCGGAAUCUGGAUGAAGAAGAGGGAGAACCGACAACUUCUGGAACAGUCAAGACAGCAACAGACGACUCUGAUCUUCUUAGAGUACCAAAAGAACUGUCUGAGAUCGAGUAUAUGGAGAGCUUGUAUAUGAAGAGCACUGUUUCAGCGUUAAAGGUAUUAAAGGAAAUCCGCAGUGGUAGCUCAACAGUAAGCGUCUUCUCGUUGCCACCAUUACCGGCAAGUGGAUUAGAAGAUGAUUCAUGGAAGAAGAAGGUUGGUGUCCUCGAACAAGUAGCGAAAUGAAUUAUGACUAUUAUUAUUUUUGAAUCUUUCUUUCUUUAAAUAGUUAUGUACAAGUAAUUGUAUACGCUUACAGUUGUAAAAGAUGAAUCAAACCAUAGAAGUGUGAUCAUCUUUCCUCAAUGUAAACUUGGUUGCGUGUACUCUCUCUUUUGCUGCAUAUCAUGAAUGAAAAAUCUUCUGUAAGACCGCAACACGACUUUCAAGCAGAGAAUACAAACCCCAUUUUGGAGUCAUAUAUAUUGCAUUUUAGCAUCUGCGGGUCAAUCAGUCACUGCGCUCCUAACUACGUAAGAUUGGGUCCAGUGUAAGGGUAGAUUAGAUCAUUCAAUCCCAAGGAAUCAGAUAUGUUGCUGAGGAAAUUGUUUUGCUCUUAUUUUCUGUAAAUGUUGCAAGCAAGAUUGAUAGCAUUUUAACUUUUAAGCGUUGCCGGGUUGCAGUCUGCUUCUUGUUACGGCCUGUGAGAUGGGUCUUUGUAAUUUGGGCCAUUUUAUGUUGGCUUAGAUUAGGAUUCGACCAAUCUUAGACUACGCUUUGUGUUCUUAAGUGCGGGAAUCAUCUACGCCACUUAUUGAUCAAAGUGAAGGGCUGGGCAAAAGGUGAACCCGAAAUCGGAAUUUCUAAUAAUGGUGACUUUUCACUAUCAUUAUUUUUACUAACUAUAUUUUAACUCGCUGUACACCGCGGGAUGAUUUAUUUUUAAAGUUAGUAUAAAAAUAUUUUGAAAUUAUAUCUUCUUAUAAAAUAUUUAUUUAUGUUAUAGUUUACAAUUGUUAUUAAGUAACGGUAUACCACGAGUCCACGAGACAAUUGUUAAUAAACUGAGGAUUUAACCCGUAUUAAACGGCAUGUUAAUGAUAUUUAUAAAUAUUCAUUCAAAUUCGUCCGCCAUAUAAACCCGUUCCAUAAUUUCUUAACCCGUACCGUGAUUUGUUUUUAUUUUUAAUGAUUAUUUAUUAUAUAUAAAAUUUUACAAAUCAUAUCAUUCACUAAGACAUUUAUAUUUUAAUAAACUGAAAAUUUAAUUUAUAUUAAAGCGGCAUGUUAAUGAUAUUUUAAAAUUUUAUAAGUAUUGACUCAAACACGUCCACCAUAUAACUUCGUUCUGAAAUAUAACCCGUCCUGUAACUUCUUAACUCGUUCCGUGAUUUGUUUUCUAAAAGUAGUAAUUUUUAAAAUUUAACGGUUAUUUAGUAUAUAUAAAAUUUUACAAAUUGUAUCAUUUUCUAAGAUAUUUAUAUUUUAUAGUUUACAAUUGUUAUUAAGUAACAUUAUACCACGGGACAAUUUUUGGUUUUAUACAAUCUUUUCUAAAUAAGAUUGAUUUAAUAUGUCUAAUAUUGGUGGUAUUGAAAAAAAAAUUAAGGAUUUAAUCCGUUUUGAAGGAGCGGAUUAAUGAUAUUUUAAUCUUUUUAUUAUUGUUGAUUCAAAAACCCGUCCCGCCAAACCCGUCUGGCUAAAAAACUUAUUUAUUUUAUUAAUGUUGAUCUUAUUUAUGAUAUAAUUAUGAAACAUUGUCUAAAUAUUUUAAUCGAUGUAGAACGUUGAACACACAUUUUCGUCAAUUGGAUAAUAUAUGUCCGUUUUUAAAAUUUCGAAUCACAAUAUAUGCAGAAGAAAAUUGAUUUUUUUUUUACUUUAUGUAUUAUAUGAUGAUUCAAAACAAUUAAAAACAAAUCAAACAAAGAUGAUAGGAGAAUCAUAAUUCUAAAUCUUAAUCAAAUCUUCUAAAUAUAUAAAUUAUUAAAUAUAAAAUAUCCGGUGUAUGAGUUGGGUUAAAUAUAGUCCGACCCAACAAAUUUUUUAUGACCAAAAUUUGUAAAUGGGUCGGGUAUCCAAAUAAUCCGGAAGCAUUUUUACCCACCCGUCACCAAAAUGACUGCAAAAAUACUAGUAUAGAUGGUUUUUUUUUUUUUGGUAGGCAGAGGGGAGACAAUUGUCUCCCUCAUAUUAUUAAAAUAAAAUAAAAAAUUACAUCCGAAUAGUACGUGGGAAUGCAGUCCCAUUAGCAUCUUCCAACAAAAUCAGUCUCAUUUCAUCCGGACAAUGCUCUGAUGAAAGAAACCCCAACUCCAAAGAAAAAGCAUAGGCUGCUAAUCCAUCUGCUAGACGAUUAGACUCCCUAUACGUAUGCGUAACCCGGACUAACCAGUCCCUUGAAAAGAAGCCAUGGCACAAUCGUACCAGGAAGGACAGAGGAUGAGCAUCGCUUACCCCUGACCGAAGAAAACCUACUACCAACGCCGAAUCCACUCUCAACUCCACUCGCCUAAAACCACGAUCCCACGCAAUCACUAACCCAUAGUAGACUCCCCACAACUCCGCCAUCGGGGCUGAGCAUAUGCCAAUAUUGAAGGCGAAACCUCCCAACCAAAGCCCCUCACCGUCCCGAAUCACACCCGCAGCUGUCGCCAGCCCUGGGUUUCCGUGUGACACCCCGUCCGUGUUCAGCGCCACCCAACCUUCUCUCGGCUUCGUCCAUGACACCAUGAUCUCCGUGCGCCGUCCCGAACCUGCAUCUCCACCUGUCCGAGACUCCACCCUAGCUGUCUCAUGCGCCUUAGUAACUUCCACCGCCAACUCCUUGAGAAAACGUGUUCUGUCUCGACAUCUUCCCCUCUCUCCAAAUACGUUUCCGCAUCUCCACUUCCACGCCCACCAAGCUGCCAUACCGAAAAGAGUGGCCCAAUUACUUCUCUCGUUCGCAUGACCUGCAUUCAAAUUCCCAAACAACCACUCCAAUAACGAUCUUGUGAAAAAAGAUUGUCUCUCAUGUUGAGGAACCAACCGCAGCCAUAUCCCCUCCAUUGCUGGACAAUCCCGCAACACAUGAAUAAUUGACUCAUUCGCCCCAUUACAAACCGGACAAACCACAGUAUCACCAAUGUGUCUUCUCACCCUCUCCACAUUCGUCAUGAUAACUUGAUGAGAUACUAGCCAGAGAAACACCUUGACUCUCUCCGGAACCACCAUAUCCCAAACCCGCUUAAAAAAACUCUCCAUACUCGGCAUUGGCUCAGUCACCUGUGUAAGAAGAGAAUAAGUAGACCUCACCGAAAAUUCUCCAUCUGCAGUCCCGUGCCAAGAAAUCUCAUCACUCAUAAAUGGUACUCCUUUUAAUACUACCGCAUGAAGUCGAUGUAAAAUAUUCUGUGGAAGAAAUUGACUCAAGACUGCCAAGUUCCAGCCAUACCCAACCGUCCAAUAAUCUUCAAGUCUCUUUCCAACCUCCGCCACUGGUACUUGAGUUAUAGACUGCUCCAACAAGCGCUCACCAAUAAACCACCUAUCCAUCCAGAACCUGAUGGUUUUUCCAUCACCGGGGACCCAACCAAGCCCACGUGACACCACCUCCCUUAGACCCACUCCAAUGCUUCUCCAAGUGGAAGACCAGGUACUCUUCGGCACUACCCAAGAAUGGUCAUGGACCUCGCCAACUUUAUACUUACUCCUUAGCACUUUCGCCCACAAACUUGACUUGUCCCUUAGUAGUCUCCAACCCACUUUAGCCAACAAAGCCUUAUUCAUUACUCUUGCUUCCUUCAACCCCAAACCACCCUCUCCUUUUGGUUUGCAUAUCCUUCCCCAAGCUAACAAAUGUUGCUUCCUUUUUUCUACCGUACUGCCCCACACAAAAGACUUUGACAACUUGUCUAGACUCUCCAGCGUUGAUGCAGGUAACAUGAUCGAACUCAUAGAAUGUACCGGAAUCAAAAACAGAACCGAUUUCGUGAGUGUUAUCCUUUCCUACCAUACUCAACGUAUUGCUCUUCCAGCCCGCUAAUCGAGACGACACUUUCUCUAAGACUUCUCCAUACGUCGUCUUAUUUAUUCUUUUUUGGAGAAUAGGCAUACCAAGAUAUUUCCCCAACUCUCUUUUGGAUCCAAUACCACUCUCCGCUAUUAUCAAUCUCUCCAUAUCCCGGCUUACAUUCCCUGAAAAAAAGAUUUUGGAUUUCUCCAAACUUACUUUCUGUCCUGAAGCCAAGCAAAAUCUUUCCAACACCUUCCUUAUGAGCUUCACUUGAACCACAGACGCUUCAGCAAACAAGAUUAGGUCAUCCGCAAAACACACAUGGGAGAGCUUAGGACCACCACGGGAAAGACUAAUCGGCUUCCACUCCCCACUACCAACCGCCGCCUCAAUUUGGUGGCAUAAUCUCUCCAAACAUAACACAAAAAGAUAUGGUGACAAAGGAUCACCUUGCCUCAAACCCCGCGCCGGUGAGAAUGAUUCCGUCUUCUCGCCAUUCCACAAUAAGCUCAUCUCCGGUUCUGCUACACACUGCAUUAUCCGUCGUCUCCAUUCCUCGGAUAGCCCAGCACUCCCAACGUCUCCUCCAAAUAAUCCCAUCGGAUACGGUCAUACGCCUUCUCAAGAUCAAGUUUAAGCAACAUCCAACCCUUACGACCUUUUUUACGUCUCAUUGAGUGGACCGCUUCUUGCACCACCACAAUGUUAUCUAUGCUCAGCCUACCCGGGAUAAAACUUGCUUGGGCCGGGCCAAUCAACUUUGAGAUCACACUUUUCAGCCUAAUCACCAUCAUCUUAGAUGGUGAUACUGUAUAUAAGAAAAUUUUCAAUUUACAAUUUUCAUUAUUAAAAUAUUUUAAAUAAAAAUAUUUCUUUUUAACAAAUAUCAAAAUCUUAUGAGAUCUAAGGGUCUGACCGGUAGAAUGUUGAGAAUAAAUGGGAAGAAUUAUUAGAAGAAAAGAAUUUGGAAGAAAACUUAAUCUUAGAUGAAAAUUUAUUAUUCCUUUUCAAAACCCUAUUUCCCAUUCUCUCUCAACUUUCAGCCGCCGCCGAGAAAAAAAUCUAGAUUGAGGCUGGAUCGCGGUGGCUUCCCUAGCACCGGAUCUGGCCUCCUUUGUUGUUUUUCUUUUUAGCUUUGUUUGUUUCUGUUCCCGAUCUAUCUAGCUCUGGUGUUUCGGUGUUGAAGGGUUUCGAUCGGAUGCGACAACGGAUCUUCACGGCAAGCCUCUUUGGCUUGGUCGGCGGUUAGCUUCUCCAGUGAGAGUUGUUUUUGGGCUUCCGACAUCAGAUGUUUGGUCGGAUGCUCUGCUCUUAUAAGAUCCGAUGAAGGCUUUGGUUUCUCUGGGAUUCCCGAGUUUUCUUCGUGGAUCUGUGGCUGUUGGUUCUUAUUGUCCCGUGAUCUGUUUUGCAGACUUACUGGUCUGUUUCUCUUCUCCGUUUUGCUAGGGCUAGAUUGAUUCGCCUUAGUUUAUUUCCAGUGUGGCCGUGACAGUUUCAGAGCUUAAGUUGAUUGGCCUUUUCAUCUUUCCCUACGGUCUGGGAUAUGGAACAAGUAGUGUCUUUCUGGGUCUAGAUGAUUAGUUAUCCUUUUGUGUUUGGCUGUUCUUGAUAGAAGGUAACGUUUCCUUUAUUUUGUGUGAUGAGAAGAGACUGUUCAUUGAUGGUAAUUGUUAGGCCUGCAAGUUUAUUCAUGUUUGGUGGGAGAUUUCUUUGGUUCACUCUGGUUCGAUCUCUUGCCGCUCUUGAUCCUUCAAGAUUGGUGUUACCAGUCUGGAUCUUUCGCUCCUCGUCUCUGCAUUUCAGGUCUGAUCGAGAUCUGGUCCUAUGAUCUUGCUUCUAUUUAGGUGUGACUUGUCGCCUUGUUUACGACAUCGCCGUAUCCGAAAGAAUGUGUGUGGAACUAUGUGUGUUCUUUCUUGCCGGAUUAUGAAGAUUAGCAUAGGAGUUCCGUUAAUUUUAGGCAGUUUGGGUUUUCUAGAGGAGGAUUUUAUUAUCGUUGGUUGGCCGGGGGCAUCUUCGAUAUGUACUGUCAAAGGAUCUCUUGCUGAUGAGUUACCUUGCUUGGCUUGAUAUGUCUCCAGAUUUUGGGCUUUUGAUUCUCUGGCUGCUUCACUUGUGGUUUCCCUUUUCUAUCUUUGUAUUUCUUUGGCCUUUGUAGUGUUUAUCGUUUGCUUCCCUUUCAUAGGGCUUUAGUUUCCGGGGAUAUCUUGUUUUUCCGCCGGCAUAUGUUUGUAAUCUUCAGGUAUUCACUUUGGUAAUUUUAAUAAAAUUCUAGAUGACAAGAAAAAAAAAAAGAUGAAAAUUUAUUCUUCAGUUUUGAGGAGGGAGAAAAUCCUCUCACUUACUUUACUUUUUGAUAUUUCUAGCAGAAAAAUAAUU
rnacentral:lncRNA from 1 species